rnacentral:rRNA from 1 species
UACGGGGGGGGCAAGCGUUGUUCGGAAUUACUGGGCGUAAAGCGCGUGUAGGCGGCUUGGCAAGUCGGGUGUGAAAGCCCUGGGCUCAACCUAGGAAGUGCACUCGAAACUGCCUCGCUGGAGUGCCGGAGAGGAAAGCGGAAUUCUCGGUGUAGAGGUGAAAUUCGUAGAUAUCGAGAGGAACACCGGUGGCGAAGGCGGCUUUCUGGACGGUUACUGACGCUGAGACGCGAAAGCGUGGGGAGCAAACAGG